rnacentral:rRNA from 1 species
GUCCACGCCCUAAACGAUGGAUACUCGACAUCAGCGAUACACUGUUGGUGUCUGAGCGAAAGCAUUAAGUAUCCCACCUGGGAAGUACGACCGCAAGGUUGAAACUCAAAGGAAUUGACGGGGUCGCACAAGCGGUGGAGCAUGUGGUUUAAUUUCGAUGAUACGCGAGGAACCUUACCUGGGCGUAGAAUAGCAUUUUGUACCGUGGGUGGAAAGACUCACUUUAUUAGCAAUAUACAAUUUGUAAGGUGCUGCAUGGCUGUCGU